rnacentral:rRNA from 1 species
AGUGAACGCUGGCGGUAGGCCUAACACAUGCAAGUCGAACGGCCGCACAGUAAGAUUUUGCUUUUACGGGUGGCGAGUGGCGGGCGGGUGAGGCAUACAUCGCAUUCUUCUAUUUCGUGGGGGAUUACGUAGGGCAACUUAUGCUAAUACCGCAUACGAUCAACGGGUUGAUGCAAGGGUUCUACAGGGCUUGCGCGUCUGUAUUAGCUGGUGUCGGAUUAGCUAGUUGGGUGGGUAAAGGCACACCAAGGCGACGAUACGUAGCUGGUCUGAGAGGAUGAUCGGCCACACUGGAACUGAGACACGGUCCAGACUCCUACGGGAGGCAGCAGUGGGGAAUCUUGCGCAAUGGGCGCAAGCCUGAUCGAGCCAUACCGCGUGGGUGAAGAAGGUCUUCGGGUUGUAAAGCUCUUUUGUUAGGAAAGAAAAGAAGCAGAUGAAUCCCCCGCUGUUCUGACGGUACCCAAAGAAUAAGCAACGGCUAACUACGUG